CUCAGAACGAACGCUGGCGGCAGGCUUAACACAUGCAAGUUGAACGGGAUUGGUGGUAGCUUGCUAUCAUUAAUGAGAGUAGCGCACUGGUGAGUAACACGUGGGAACAUGCCUUUUGGUGGGGGACAACAGUUGGAAACGACUGCUAAUACCGCAUAAGCCCGGAAGGGGAAAGAUUUAUUGCCGAAAGAUUGGCCCGCGGAAGAUUAGGUAGUUGGUGGGGUAAAGGCCUACCAAGCCGACGAUCUAUAGCUGGUCUGAGAGGACGAACAGCCACAUUGGAACUGAGACACGGUCCAGACUCCUACGGGAGGCAGCAGUGAGGAAUAUUGGGCAAUGGAGGAAACUCUGACCCAGCCAUGCCGCGUGAGUGAAGAAGGUUUUCGAAUUGUAAAGCUCUUUCGGGUGUGACGAUGAUGACGGUAACACCUAAAGAAGCCCCGGCAAACUUCGUGCCAGCCGCGGC
rnacentral:rRNA from 1 species